rnacentral:rRNA from 1 species
UACAGAGGGUGCAAGCGUUGUUCGGAAUUACUGGGCGUAAAGCGUGCGCAGGCGGCCUUGCAAGUCGGGCGUGAAAUCCCACGGCUCAACCGUGGAAGUGCACUCGAAACUGCUUGGCUAGAGUCUUGGAGAGGAAGGCGGAAUGUCUUGGUGUAGAGGUAGAAAUCUGUAGAUAUCAAGUCGGAACACCGGUGGCGAAGGCGGCCCUUACCUGGGACAAUGACUGACCGGCUUAAAACACGAAAGACGU